UGGAAUGGCAAAACCUCCUUGUCAAAGCCUGAUCUCAUCAGAUUUCAGAAGCUAAGCAGGGCCAGGCCUAGUUAGUAUUUGGAGUAUGGGAGAUCACUGGGAAAAUCAGGUGUCACAG
rnacentral:rRNA from 1 species